CGCAAAACGUCUGGCGACCGUAGCCUAUUGGCUUUGUGUAAUUCUUAUUCUCAAUAAAUGAUGACAAAAAAAAAUUGAAAAAAAAACAUAAACAAAGGGUACACGUAAUUCAAGCUACGAAGAUGUGACUGUCGGAACAAAUGCUGUGUGACACACCUCUGCUGAGAAAGGAUCUGGUGCCAACCUAAUUGUGAUGAUUAUGGCAGUGCUGUAUAAUGUGCUCUUGUGUUUUAUUUUUCAAGGCUAACUAACAAACAUGGGGAAAAUGAAUGUAAGGAAGACAGAUGGACACAAAUGCAGCAAGGAGUCGACGAGAAGGCGAUGCGGCUUGUAAGAAAUGGGACUACUGUUAAUGCUGCCACUAGGAAGUUCAACUUUCCUUAAGCUACUUUACAUUACUAUGUAAAAAAAACAUACUGAUGAAGAUUUGCUGCAGAAUGCAGCCAGGUUUAUAAAUACAUUUAAUCAUGAUUACAAGAAUUGGGGCAAUAUGUCAUCGAUUCAGACAGAAGAGCUUUUGAACUGACAAGGCUUGACUUCACUCAAGUUGUUUACCAUUAUGCUGAAUUUAAGAAUAAAAAGCAUUGACUCAGCAAAGCUAAAGAGAUGGCAGGGAAAGAUUUUAUUCAAAAUUUCAUGACACAUUUUUAAUUUUCUGUUUGUAUACCAGAACUUACGUUGGGAGCUAGAUUGACUGCAUUUAGUUAAGUGAAUUUAGAGGGGUUUUCUAAUUUAUGCGGAGAAAUAAGAACAAAAUGCAAAUUUGAGCCCUGCAAGAUCUUUAAUGUUGAUGAGACAGAAUUUUCAACAGUUCCCGCAAAGGUGCCACCAGUAUGAAGCUCUGAUGGCAAAGGAAGGGUAGGAAAGGUUUCCUCUGCUGAGUGGGAAACAAGUAUUAGCAUUGCUUGCUGUGUUAGUGUCACAGUCAGUUCGUACCUCCACUUUUUAUUUAUCUUAGGGUCAGAAUGUGUGUGGUGUAACAGACAACAAGUGGUCUGUUGCAUGCGCCAUCUAUUGCCCCUGGCCCAGCACAAAUUCUAAUUAAAUGAUAAAAUUGAGUUGCGGAUUAGGAUUUGUUAGUUAUGUGCAUAAAUACUGCAGAAGUAUUUGGUUUUUAUAUGUGCAGAUAAUUCAAAUACCGAGCCAGCAACUGGUGCGGACUUUCCUUGAUGCGGCAAGUAGCGGGCCGCCAUGGAGCAAACACAGUGAGGCUGAUGACAUUGCUCCAUGCAGGUCCAGAGUCGCGGUGGCGUGAUACUCCGAGGCGGUUGUUGGACGAAGAAUGUAUAAUGAGGAACUUUGUCUGUAACAGCGAAAGAAGGAAGAAGCAAUUUAAUGGCUGGUAACGCAGUAGGCGGUACAUCAAGAGCCGACUGUACAUAGGUAUCAGAAAGAAAUCACUCUAACUAUUGUAAAAAAGGAGUUCUGAAUAAGAGUUGUUACGAGAAGCAGUCAGACAGUGUCAGUUACUGGUGAAUGAUCACCAUAGGCGACAUUUUCUUCAUCAGCUGCACCGUACCCUCUUUCACUUGAUGAAUUUAGUCAACACUAAGACAGAGCCGAACUACGCAAAUAAUAAAACUCAUCAGUGGGGCAGGUACAGCGCAAAUGCAGCUAGCAUAUCUUAAUCCUUUAACUGCUCUGGACAUGUUAACGCGCGCGCCUUUGUACCUAUGCCUGUGUGCUCUGAACGUGUUUACACGCACCACCAGUCCUUCACCUGGCACUCUGAACAUGUCUACACGUAGACAUGUUCAGAGUACCAGGUAGAAGGACUGGUGGCAUGCGUAAACACAUUCAGAGCACACAGGGACAGGUACAAAGGCAUGUGCGUUAACACAUCCAGAGCAUUUAAAGAGUUGAUGGUGCUUCACCUGAAUUUGUUGGAGUUGGCCCUGAAUCUGGCAUGCUUCAGGGCUUUGUAAAAUAGGUGGAGCAUUUCAUUAAAUAAGUAAUACCAUCACAAAGAUAUCCAAUUUUUUUGUUUCUGGAUAAUCAUACUUCACAUCUCACUUUGGGAGCCAUUACCCUCUGCAGAGGUUUCCCAUUGCACACAAGACACGGAUUGCAAACUUUGGAUGUGUUAUUUUACAGACCUCUGAAGACAACCUAUAGUAGAGCUUGUACUGAUUUAUCUUGCUAAUCAUCCAGACCAAGUAAUAACAAUACAAGUCAUUGCAAGCUUUUUCAACAUUAUCUUUAACAAAGCUGCAUCUUUAAACAAUGCAAUCAAGGCCAUUAUAGACACAGGAACUGAGAAAUUAAUGAUGAAGACUUCACAGCAUCGCUAACAGUGAACACUCCUAUCAAUGAAAAUUCAACCAACACAGGUGCUCUACCUGGUAUGUCAGCAAACCCAACUGCAGAAUUUGAUGCACUGAAAGGUCGUUCAUCUAACUCUACUACUAGCUCUAUUUUAUCCUUGUUAUCCCAAGCAGAACCUCUACCAGGGUCUUCAUCUAACCCUAUACCUACUUCUAUUUUAUCUCCAUUACCGCAAGCAGGACUUGGUGAAUUAUCACACCUAACUCCACAUCUACCUGUGCUUUACCUCUGUUACCUCAAGCUCCUCCUAAAGGAGGCACAAAAGAACAAAGAAAUAAGUUGCCAUAACUAGCACAUCCACGAAAAUAGCUAUGGAAGAAAAGAGACAAACAAAAUAGAACAACAGGAAGAAGAAAGAAAAAUGAAGAGAUGUAAAAAAUUGAGAGAGAAUGCAAAUGCAAAAGAAAAAAAUAUGAACGAAGGUCCUAAAUGUAAACUUGUGUUCAGCAGAGGUUUUGAAGUGAAACAAAGAGAGGAUCCUAGAAUAGACUUCUGCAAAUCAUCUUCAGACACAUCCAAUGAAAUUGAGUACACUAACAGUGUUUCCAAUUAUGUUGAUGAAAGAGACAGCAUCCUUUGUGAUGAGGUUGGAAAAACAGAAAUGUGGUCUCAGUGUUCCUGAUGCAAAGAGUGGGCUCAUGCUCCAUGUAUGGGCUUAAAUUACAGAAAGCAAAGUAAAAAAUGUUAUAUUUGUGACUUUUGUGAAAAAUAGAUAAUCAUCAA